rnacentral:rRNA from 1 species
GAGCUCAAAUUUGUAAUCUGGCACCUUCGGUGUCCGAGUUGUAAUCUCUAGAAGUGUUUUCCGCGUUGGACCGCACACAAGUCUGUUGGAAUACAGCGGCAUAGUGGUGAUACCCCAUUACACGGUGCGGACGCCCAGCGCUUUGUGAUACACUUUCGACGAGUCGAGUUGUUUGGGAAUGCAGCUCAAAUUGGGUGGUAAAUUCCAUCUAAAGCUAAAUAUUGGCGAGAGACCGAUAGCGAACAAGUACCGUGAGGGAAAGAUGAAAAGCACUUUGGAAAGAGAGUUAAAAGUACGUGAAAUUGUUGGAAGGGAAACGCUUGAAGUCAGACUUGCUUGCCGGGCUUGCUCGGUUUGCAGGCCAGCAUCAGUUUUCCGGGGCGGAUAAUGGCAGUUAGAAUGUAGCAGUCUCGGCUGUGUUAUAGCUUUCUGCUGGAUACGUCCUGGGGGACUGAGGAACGCAGCGUGCCGUAUGGCGAGGGCUUCGGUCCUUUCACGCUUAGGAUGCUGGUGGAAUGGCUUUAAACGACCCGUCU